CGGGACAUAGCUCAGCUUGGAAGAGCAUCCGCUUUGGGAGCGGACGGCCGCAGGUUCAAAUCCUGCUGUCCCGAC
rnacentral:tRNA from 1 species